GACGAACGCUGGCGGCGUGCUUAAUACAUGCAAGUCGAGCGAGGUUACUGUUUGGAUCCCUUUGGGGUGAAGAAGCUUUAACCUAGCGGCGGACGGGUGAGUAACGCGUGGGUAACCUACCCCAAAGUCCGGGAUAACAGCGGGAAACCGCUGCUAAUACCGGAUGCCUUUACCUUGGGGCAUCUUGAGGUAAAGAAAGGUAACGCUUUGGGAUGGGCCCGCGUCCCAUUAGCUAGUUGGUGAGGUAAAAGCUCACCAAGCCUGCGAUCUGUAGCUGGUCUGAGAGGACGACCAGCCACACUGGAACUGAGACACGGUCCAGACUCCUACGGGAGGCAGCAGUGGGGAAUUUGGACAAUGGACGCAAGUCUGAUCCAGCAAUGCCGCGUGCAGGACGAAGGCCUUCGGGUUGUAACUGCUUUUGUACAGAACGAAAAAGUACUUUAAUAACACUAGAGCUCAUGACGGUACUGUAAGAAUAAAGCACCGCUAACUACGUGCCAGCAGCCGACGGUAAACCAC
rnacentral:rRNA from 1 species